AAGCACGUAGGUGGGUUUGUAAGUCAGAUGUGAAAGCCUUCUGUUCAAAGGAAGAACGGCAUCUGAAACUGCAGAUCUUGAGCGUAGGAGGGGAGAGUGGAACUUCUGGUGGAGCGGUGAAAUGCGUAGAUAUCAGAAGGAACGUCGGCGGCGAAAGCGACUCUCUGGCCUAUUACUGACACUGAGUGUGCGAAAGUUGGGGGAGCAAACGGGAUUAGAUACCCCGGUAGUCCUAACUGUAAACGAUGGGCACUAAGUAGAGGGGUUUU
rnacentral:rRNA from 1 species